GCAAAGUAAACAUCAGCCUGCGUUGUUUUAAAAAUACCUUUUUGUUGAAUCACUGUAUCUUAUCAGAGAAACUGUGAGACACUUUUUGGCCGCUGAUAAAAACAGCAAAACAUCAAGGUUCAAAGAUCCGCAAAAGGAAAAAGAAUCAGUGGAUUAAAAAAACCAACAACGGGUCAGAAACACAGACACAAGUUAAGAAAGUUCGGGGAUACAGAGAGCCCUAGCACCUCUACUGUGCCAGCUCUACCAGCAGCAGCAGCGUUUCCUGUUUGGUUUCCUUUCAUCUGUGAAGCCUUCAGUGCGCCCAGAGAGAGCUGUGUGAAGUCUGAGAAAAGGCGUUUGGGGCUGAAGACGACGAGCUGAAGGAAAAAAACAAAUCUGUUGGCGUGGAGUUAGAAAGAAGUGAGCUCACCAGACCUCUGUAGCUGGUAGUAACACACCCGAAUCUCCAACUGACCUGUCAGCGAUUUGCAUGCAAGAGUUGCAUUGUGGGUAAUGUAGGUGGCAGGUUUUCAAUUCUUUUUAAACUCUGUUACAGGAGCGUGAAGCUAAAUCUGUGGAGGUCUCUGUUAAUGUGACGUUUUAAUUGCUGCUGGAGGUUUUUAAAGAUUUAAUACAAAUAGAAUUCAUGAAUAAAAUCAUGAAAAGUUUUGGCAGCACUGAGAAAAUGUCUGAAUUGUGACGGACAGCAGGGCAGGUCUUGGUUUAGAGCUUCUGUAAAUAAACUUGAUGGAGCUGCUUUCAUUUCCUCCCACACUUCACUGGACUGAGCGGUUGGAUUAAUCUGUUUUUCUUCACGGUUAGCAAAGAAUUUCUUUUUGGGGGGCUCUCAGCUUUCUUGUGUGUAAAGGUUGGAUACAAAUCCUGACUGAUUUUAUCAGUUCAAUCCUGUCAUGAACUGCACAAGGUUCUCUCAGACACGGAUCUACAUGCCUGUGGCAGGUGGUUUUAGUGUGUUGUAGUUAAGACUUUUCCUUCAAACUCUCCGUCUGCACCUGCAGCCGCUGCUGAACCUGCUAAUUCUCUUCCUAUUUAAAGUUAAUACGGGCUGUUUGAUUAUCAGAGGACGGGAUCUUUAUUGUGACUUCUGAACACAUGUCUUUGUUCCGCUCCCAUGUCCCAGUACAACAGGUGUGUGUGUGUUACUUUAAACCUGAAGGGAACCGGUUUUAGUUUUACACCUCCAGGACGAGGACAUUGUUGUGUAGUGGGGUCAAUUUUCUGUAAGCGCCAUGCUGUCAAAUGAGCAAGAAAACUACGUCCCUUUGGAUAAAAGCACCAACGAAUGUGGUUUAAUGUCAA